CCAUUCCAUUCCACCAUGCGGUCCACGCCCCCUCGAUUCUCUCUGCUUUCCGCGCUGCUGCUGACCGACGACGGCCGCGCCCCUGUCCCGGUCUCCUCCUCGUCCCUCCUCCCCGCCUCUCCACUCUUCCAGAACAUCGCCACCGCCACCGCCGCCGCCGCCGCCGCUCGCCGGCCACGACCGCCCCCGGCCCAUCUACACCUCCGCCGGAUCUCGCAGCCGCGCUCCCCCCAUUGGAGGGAGAUCCGUUCCAGCGCGUGGUUGGCAUCUCAUGCCACUCAAGCAGAUGAAGCAACAGAGCUUGCUUCCAGCUGUGAUUGUGCAGAAGUGCCAGCUUCACAGCAGAUAGUUUCUGAAUCAAGUACAGCAGGAAGCUCCACAGAGCAUCUAGUUUCAUGUGAAAUCAAGCCACUGGGUGUUGAUGAAGACAUUGAAACUAUUGAUGCUAACGAAGAAACCCACCUUGUCAUUCAAGACUGUCCACAAUGCCGGAUUUGCCUUGAUAAUGAAGGUGAUGACUUGAUUGCACCUUGUCAUUGCAAGGGCACACAGAAAUACGUGCAUCGAUCCUGUCUUGAUAACUGGAGAUCAACAAAGGAAGGUUUUGCCUUUUCACAUUGCACUGAGUGUCGGGCUGCCUUCUUACUUCGUGCAAAUGUUCCUCCAGAUCGAUGGUGGUUGAGAUUGAAGUUUCAACUUCUGGUUGUUAGAGAUCACACGUUGAUUUUUUUUAUUGUACAACUGGUUGUUGCUUUAUUGGGUAUGCUAGUAUACAGAUUUUAUGGAGAUGAACUACGAGAAAUGUUUGGUUAUGAAGAGCAUCCAUAUGCUUUUUAUGCAAUGGCAAUAUUGGCUAUUGUUUUGGUUGGUUUGCUGUAUGGAUUCUUCAUAGCUAUAAUAUGUGGGCAGAGGAUCACAGAACGGCAUUACCAUGUUCUUGCAAAGCAAGAGUUAACCAAGGAGUAUAUUGUAGAGGAUCUUGAAGGAACUGAUGGAGUUCCUGACCUUGAUCCUAAUCAUGUUACAGAGCUGAGGAUUCUGGGGCUAUAUUGAGUACUGGAGAUAUCAUCAAUUCAUCAGCUAAAUGUCGAUGCUAAAAUGGUCAUAUGGGAAAAGCUCUGUUUAGAUACAAAUCCAUAAGGCUGAUGCUGCACGGACAUCAUCCAGAACUUCAGCACAAGGCAUGACAAACGGGCUUAUCUGCGUUUUGGAAGACAUGUUUGUCUGAAGGCAUCCAAUAGAGUUUAGAGCUAUUUCCCUUUUUUCCCCAUGUAGGAUAAAUUGCUCUCACACAAAAAGGAGAAUAAGAUUCAAGCUUUUGUUGGAAGUUGAAGACCCACUCACUAAUGGUGGGAGUCUAAAGUUAAACUGCAGCAGCAAGAGCCCAGAAGCAAGCAACCAUAUGUACUUAAUCUGGCAAGAAUCACUGCAAUUUGUUCUCCAUGGCAAUGCAUUGAUGACCAACUAGUUGCUGAAUGCUACUCUGAUGGUGAUGUAUCAUGAUUAUGCUGGGUGACAGUUACAGAUGGAGACUUCAGCUUCUCUAUGCCAAAGUGUCCCAUUGGAACUGUAUCUCCUUGAUUAAUUAGGUGGAGGAACUGAGACUUGAUUUGGGUAUUAGUUAAUAAAUGCUCAUCAUCCGGGGUUUCUGUUGCAUAAUUAAGACUUAACCACCUUGCAAUUACAUAUAUAUGAUAGUAUUAUUAAAUGACAAGCAACUAAACCAAUAAAAUGAAGGUCAAGAUUGAUGGCUACAUAGGGUGCUUCAGUCUUUGCUCAACUGGGAGUAGGAUCCUAGGUUCACAGUGUGGUGAAGCUGUCUCUUUUCUAGUCGUGCGAUCAUAAACUGAAGGUCAAGAUUGAUCGCUACAGUAAUUCAUCCUGUCAGAUACUUGUAACGAGAAAACAAUGACAACAUUUUCCCUAAAAAAAAGAAAUCGAUGACAA